rnacentral:rRNA from 1 species
AGUGGCGGACGGGUGAGUAACACGUGGGAACCUACCCAUCAGAGGGGGAUAACACUUGGAAACAGGUGCUAAUACCGCAUAAUGUCUACGGACCAAAGCGGGGGACCUCCGGGCCUCGCGCCAUCAGAUGAACCCAUAUGGGAUUAGCUAGUAGGUGGGGUAACGGCUCACCUAGGCGACGACCCCUAGCUGGUCUGAGAGGAUGACCAGCCACACUGGAACUGAGACACGGCCCAG